GGAGAAUAUAUUACAUAGCAGAGUGUAUACACAGGUAAAAGAGGAGAUUAUAUUACAUAGCAGAGUGUAUACACAGGUAAAAGAGGAGAGUAUAUUACAUA